rnacentral:rRNA from 1 species
UGGGGAAUAUUGCACAAUGGAGGGAACUCUGAUGCAGCGACGCCGCGUGAGUGAUGAAGGACUUCGUUUCGUAAAACUCUGUUCUAUGGGAAGAAAAGGACUGUACCAUAGGAGAAAGCUCCGGCUAAAUACGUGCCAGCAGCCGCGGUAAUACGUAUGGAGCGAGCGUUGUCCGGAAUUAUUGGGCGUAAAGGGUGCGCAGGCGGCUUUACAAGUUGGAUGUGAAAUAUUGUGGCUCAACCACAAACGUGCAUCCAAAACUGCAAAGCUUGAGUUAAGGAGAGGUAAGUGGAAUUCCUGGUGUAGCGGUGGAAUGCGUAGGUAUCAGGAGGAAUACCGGUGGCGAAGGCGACUUACUGGACUUAAACUGACGCUCAGGCACGAAAGCGUGGGGAGCAAACAGG